UACAGAGGUCCCAAGCGUUGUUCGGAUUCACUGGGCGUAAAGGGUGCGUAGGUGGUCGGGUAAGUCUGAUGUGAAAUCUCCGAGCUUAACUCGGAAAUGGCAUUGGAUACUAUUCGGCUGGAGGUUUGGGGGGGGGACUGGAAUUCUCGGUGUAGCAGUGAAAUGCGUAGAUAUCGAGAGGAACACCAGUGGCGAAGGCGAGUCCCUGGACAACACCUGACACUGAGGCACGAAAGCUAGGGGAGCAAACAGG
rnacentral:rRNA from 1 species